rnacentral:lncRNA from 1 species
UUUCGUUUCGUAAAUGUUUAGCACAAAUGUUUUUCCAUUUUAUGAUUAACCAUCUUAUAAAUUUUUAUGAUAAGUAUAAACGCUUUGAAAAACACCUGCAUAUACUUGACAGCGAACUCGUGUACGGCGGGAAUGAUUACACGACGUUGUUGCGAUUAAAACUUAAUUUAACGUAAUUUAGCGCCAUAUUGACAGACAUCGUAAAAAAUUAAGGUAUAUCGGCUUUUAUUGAAAAAACAAGCACAUCGACCUCAAUGUUUUUCUUUUGCAAUCAAUCAAGUACUGUUUCAAGAACACUCCGCCA